UGCAAGUCGAGCGGACAGAAGGGAGCUUGCUCCCGGAUGUUAGCGGCGGACGGGUGAGUAACACGUGGGUAACCUGCCUGUAAGACUGGGAUAACUCCGGGAAACCGGAGCUAAUACCGGAUAGUUCCUUGAACCGCAUGGUUCAAGGAUGAAAGACGGUUUCGGCUGUCACUUACAGAUGGACCCGCGGCGCAUUAGCUAGUUGGUGAGGUAACGGCUCACCAAGGCGACGAUGCGUAGCCGACCUGAGAGGGUGAUCGGCCACACUGGGACUGAGACACGGCCCAGACUCCUACGGGAGGCAGCAGUAGGGAAUCUUCCGCAAUGGACGAAAGUCUGACGGAGCAACGCCGCGUGAGUGAUGAAGGUUUUCGGAUCGUAAAGCUCUGUUGUUAGGGAAGAACAAGUGCAAGAGUAACUGCUUGCACCUUGACGGUACCUAACCAGAA
rnacentral:rRNA from 1 species